rfam:Hordeum vulgare subsp. vulgare, WGS project CAJW01000000 data, contig: morex_contig_2539888
UGAAAUUGGUAGACACGCUGCUCUUAGGAAGCAGUGCUCAAGCAUCUCGGUUCGAAUCCGAGUGGCGGCA